GAAUGACUUACCGCAGAGAAUUGUCAUUCUCUAAACGGUUGAAAGUCACUCAUCCUAAACUCAUAAAAAAUCUGAUGCUGCUUAUGAUAUUUAUGAAGAUGGGCUAUUAUGGGGGGAGACCACCUGUUUUAUUGUAUGAGAAGCUGAUUAUGAGAUACUACGUCCAAUGGUUACCGCAUAUUAUAGCUCCAAUGAACGAUUUACAACCUCUGUCCUGUUGCGUGUAUGAGGAUGAUGAUCAUACAUGAUGAUGAUGAUGUUGCGUGUAUGAGGCAUGAUAAUUCUCCUAUUUUACGUCAACAUAACUGGACAAAGAUGGCUUUGAAUCGACAUCGACCACAAUCACACGGAACUUUAGCUUGUCGCCUGGGGAGUAGAUGGGUUUGUUGAGUUGUAUCAAGCCUGGCAGGGAGGAGUUACGAUAUGCGAAAUAGUCAUUUAUGAAAUUCAGUAUGUUGCAGUCAGUUGUGAUGGAGUAAUUUCCGUUUGUUAUGCUAGUUGAUAUCUGUAUAAUAUCAUUUAUAAUCUUUACUACGCGAGCUACCAUUUCAAACUAGUUUUGAAGGUUAUCUUGUUUGUAUCUGGCUGCACGUUCACUGUUUUUGUGAGAUUUAGCAAGAGACGACCAUCAGAGUCCGUUCCUUCUAUGCGUAGCUACAGCAUUCGAUUGCUAGUUUUGUUCUGGAUGUUAGUGAUCACCACCGUGUAAUCUCGAUUUGGUCGAAUAGUGUUAGGUAGUAGAAGCAACAUAAAGUAUAAGCUACACAUUCGUUUCUCUGGAUAUGUUGAUGCACAUCAGCACAAGGCACACACUACAUUUCACCACUAACCACAUUUAUGUUCUACACUUUCUGUUCAUCCUUCGAAAUCGCUACUUUCUGUGGGACCUUUAUAAUUUUCUUUUAAUGUACUAUUUGCGAAGAUAAUUAUGCUCAAUACAAUUCUG